rnacentral:rRNA from 1 species
AUGGAUGAGCUCGAGGCGGAUUUCAGUAAUCGCGCCUUGCUAGCCACUGUGCAGGGCACAAGACCGGCCAUGUCUGCGGAAGCCAUGGUCCAAUCCCUGGCUUGGCUCUAUGGGGUCGAGAGGCGACAAGUCCGGGUGGAGGUGACACACCCGGCAGAUUUCUUCAUCACAUUCGCCUCCAUUGCGGAUUGUGAGAGGGUGCUCGCCAGCUCCGGGAAGUUUCGCUGUGCUGGAGCUUCCGUCGCUUUUCGGCGCUGGCAUAGAAGUUCCCAGGCGAGCAGCGGGAAACUUUGCUUCUUCUGCAAGAUUGGAUUUGAGGGCAUGCCAGCGAACGCCUGGGAGUGGGGUGCUGUCAGUCAGCUCAUCAACAAUUUGGGUGGCCAGCUGGUGGAAAUCCUCCCCCCUAACGAUCGUUGGGAUAUGGACGUCACCGCCUGGAUGCGCAAUCCAUCAGGCAUCCCCAAGAUGUACGAUUUCGAGGUUCCAGAGCCGGCGGGGCUGCCGAACUCCUUCGACAAGGACUUUCCGCUUUCCUCGCCACCACCAGCGUCGCCGAUAGAGAGGCUCACUCUUGUCCACCCGCUCACUAUCCAUGUCCUGGACGUGGUGGAUCGCUCAAUGUCGUUCAUGGAGUUCCGCCCAAACUAUGAACCAGAAGAGGAUGAAGAUCACACCAGGCGACACGACUUCUCGCGCUUCUGCUUCAGGGGGCGAGUUGAUGGCACUGGGAUGGGCUCGACUCCCUGUUCGGGCGGGCAUCCUUUCGGUGGCCCUGGUGGUCUUGGGAUUGCUGGAGAUUGGGGCGGACGCAGGGUCAAGGGGCUGCUGGCGCCCGCUGGUGGUUUUUCUGCCCCGUUUGUGCAGUCCAGACCAACGGAUGCCCAUGCCAUGCAUGGCGCGCCAGCUCGGCGGGUCGCUCUGGGCACGACGGCCUCAUGCUCUGCUUUGCUUGGUGGCUCCCCCUCUCCUGGCUCGCUGGCAACUACGGUCGUGGGUUCUGCGAACGGUGUGCUCACGCCGGCUUUGCAGGGGCCUCUCGGCGACGCAUCUUUGGCUAUGGUCUUGGCGGCUCACGCGCCCACGGUGGAUGUGACGCAUCAACACGGUGGUGGUUCUUCUUCAGUGGGCGGUGCACAUGGACACUCUAGUUGUGCCUCUACGGCAGUGGGCUCGGCGGCCUGUGUUGCCACGCCAGGCUUGCCAUGGUCGGUGGCCUCUACGGCUGUGGGCUCGGCAGCUUGUGUCGUGACGCCUCCAUCAGGACGAGUCACGCUCCGCCAAAUGACGUCGCCGCGCCGGCUUUCCUUCGCAUCGGAGGCGUGUACACAGUGCGUGGGGGUAGACGGCAAUCUAGUGUGCGCGCCCUCUCAUGGCACGCCUCCACGCCUGCACCUGGCAUGCCCAGCACUGUGCGGAACACCGAAAGUAGUGCCUUCCUCAGCUGCUGGUGCUAUGGAGACGCUGAAAGCUGUGCCGGAUGAUGAGAACCUACAUCUCAAGGCUCUGAAGUUGCCGAGCCAGUGUGGGCAGUCAAGGUCCUCUAGCUCGAGCCCGGUGCGCACGCCUUUUGCAACCCCAUUGAGCCCGAGCAAGCUGCUUCCACCCCUGGCACCCAAGGCAAAUCUGGACACGGUGCUUGGUCCAAAGACGGCUGCUGACACGCUGCUUGAGGGGAUCGGUGCCACCCCCAUGCCAUCUAUCAUGGGGCCGAGGCCAGCUGCAUCGGCUCCGGUGAGACGCAAGAAGACUCUACCAUCGGAUUUUACCCCUCGCCGGAGUGCACGUCUAAAUAAAAAUUGUGAUGGCGCGAACAAGGGGCCAUACCACCGCGCUCAAACUGUGCUGCUUCGUCGCAUGGGUCUAAUGGAGGCUGAAGAACAGGUGACGCAGAAAGCAAUGGACGAAUACUUGAAGCUCUUCGACAAGCCGCUGGCUCCGCACCACAUCAAGGCGAUUACUGCUCUCUUCGCCCCAGAUGAAGUGGACUUUGAUGAACCUUCUCAUGAGGGCUUCAGUGCUUUCUUCCUCCCUGCGGCUGUGGAGCCUUGUGGUGUGUAG